GACGAACGCUGGCGGCACGCUUAACACAUGCAAGUCGAACGCCGUAGCAAUACGGAGUGGCAGACGGGUGAGUAACACGUGGGAACGUGCCUUUCGGUUCGGAACAACUGAGGGAAACUUCAGCUAAAACCGGAUACGCCCUUCGGGGGAAAGCUUACGCCGAAAGAUCGGCCCGCGUCAGAUUAGGUAGUUGGCGGGGUAAUGGCCCACCAAGCCGAUGAUCUGUAGCUGUUCUGAGAGGAAGAUCAGCCACACUGGGACUGAGACACGGCCCAGACUCCUACGGGAGGCAGCAGUGGGGAAUAUUGGACAAUGGGCGCAAGCCUGAUCCAGCUAUGCCGCGUGGAUGAAGAAGGCCUUCGGGUUGUAAAGUCCUUUCGGCGGGGAAGAUAAUGACGGUACCCGCAGAAGAAGCCCCGGCUAAUUUCGUGCCAGCCGCCGCCGUAAUAC
rnacentral:rRNA from 1 species